rnacentral:rRNA from 1 species
AUUGAACGCUAGCGGGAUGCCUUACACAUGCAAGUCGAACGGCGUGGCGAACGGGUGAGUAAUGUAUCGGAACGUGCCCAGUAGCGGGGGAUAAAUACGCGAAAGCGUAGCUAAUACCGCAUACUUUUGGAGCGGCCGAUGUCGGAUUAGCUAGUUGGGGGGGUAACGGCUAACCAAGGCGACGAUGCGUAGCUGGAUUGAGAGGACGACCAGCCACACUGGGACUGAGACACGGCCCAGACUCCUACGUGAGGCAGCAGUGGGGAAUUUUGGACAAUGGGGGAAACCCUGAUCGAGCCACCCCGCGGGUGCGAAGAAGGCCUUCGGGUUGUAAAGCACUUUUGGCAGGAAAGCGGUACCUGCAGAAUAAGCACCGGCUAACUACGUGCCAGCAGCCGCGGUAAUUC